UGGGGAAUAUUGCACAAUGGGCGGAAGCCUGAUGCAGCGACGCCGCGUGAGGGAUGACGGCCUUCGGGUUGUAAACCCCUUUCAGCAGGGACGAAGCGUGAGUGACGGUACCUGCAGAAGAAGCGCCGGCCAACUACGUGCCAGCAGCCGCGGUAAGACGUAGGGCGCGAGCGUUGUCCGGAUUUAUUGGGCGUAAAGAGCUCGUAGGCGGCUUGUCGCGUCGACCGUGAAAACUUGGGGCUCAACCCCAAGCCUGCGGUCGAUACGGGCAGGCUAGAGUUCGGUAGGGGAGACUGGAAUUCCUGGUGUAGCGGUGAAAUGCGCAGAUAUCAGGAGGAACACCGGUGGCGAAGGCGGGUCUCUGGGCCGAUACUGACGCUGAGGAGCGAAAGCGUGGGGAGCGAACAGGAUUAGAUACCCUGGUAGUCCACGCUGUAAACGUUGGGCGCUAGGUGUGGGGGGCCUCUCCGGUUCCCUGUGCCGCAGCCAACGCAUUAAGCGCCCCGCUGGGGAGUACGGCCGCAAGGCUAAAACUU
rnacentral:rRNA from 1 species